GCAGCAGGGCAGCGAAACAAAGGAAAGGAACGUGGCUGCAGAGCCAUGAACCCUCACACGUUCUGCACAGCGACCAUUUUACUCCCAGUUUUAGCUCCGUGGACUGUUAGGACCAUCUCAGAUCUCACGUCUGACCUCCACGCCUGGCUCCGGGCAGGGUCCUUCCCCUCUUCCCGCAGCAUCUGACAAAGGGUUUGCUCCCAACCCACCUCGCAUUCCUACCCCAUGCACUUCACACUCUAAGAAUGGAGCCAAAACCCUCCCCAUCCAGUUUUGUGGCCCCCACUGGGGACGGUAAAACUGCAGGGCUGUAAUUUCAACAGGGGACCACUAGGUUUUAUUACGAUAAAAAUACGUUAAAGCGAGAGGUCUAACUCGCUUUGCUACAUACCACAGG